rnacentral:rRNA from 1 species
UACGUAGGGUGCGAGCGUUGUCCGGAAUUACUGGGCGUAAAGGGCUCGUAGGUGGUUUGUCGCGUCGUCUGUGAAAUUCCGGGGCUUAACUCCGGGCGUGCAGGCGAUACGGGCAUAACUUGAGUACUGUAGGGGUAACUGGAAUUCCUGGUGUAGCGGUGAAAUGCGCAGAUAUCAGGAGGAACACCGAUGGCGAAGGCAGGUUACUGGGCAGUUACUGACGCUGAGGAGCGAAAGCAUGGGUAGCGAACGGG